rnacentral:rRNA from 1 species
UAAGGAAUAUUGGACAAUGGAGGCAACUCUGAUCCAGCCAUGCCGCGUGAAGGAAUAAGGCCCUAUGGGUUGUAAACUUCUUUUAGACGGGACAAAACCCCUUUACGUGUAAAGGGUUGAUGGUACUGUCAGAAUAAGCAUCGGCUAACUUCGUGCCAGCAGCCGCGGUAAUACGAAGGAUGCAAGCGUUAUCCGGAAUUAUUGGGUUUAAAGGGUGCGUAGGCGGACUAAUAAGUCAGUGGUGAAAGCCUGCAGCUUAACUGCAGAAUUGCCAUUGAUACUGUUAGUAUUGAGUACAGUUGAGGUAGGCGGAAUGUGUCAUGUAGCGGUGAAAUGCUUAGAUAUGACACAGAACACCGAUUGCGAAGGCAGCUUGCUAAGCUGUA